rnacentral:piRNA from 1 species
UACCAGUGCCCUGAAGGUCAGAGAGAUGG